AUUGAACGCUGGCGGCAGGCUUAACACAUGCAAGUCGAGCGGGGUGAUGGUGCUUGCACUAUCACUUAGCGGCGGACGGGUGAGUAAUGCUUAGGAAUCUGCCUAUUAGUGGGGGACAACAUCUCGAAAGGGAUGCUAAUACCGCAUACGUCCUACGGGAGAAAGCAGGGGAUCACUUGUGACCUUGCGCUAAUAGAUGAGCCUAAGUCGGAUUAGCUAGUUGGUGGGGUAAAGGCCUACUAAGGCGACGAUCUGUAGCGGGUCUGAGAGGAUGACCCGCGACACUGGGACUAAGACAAGGCCCAGCCUCCUACGAGAGGCAGCAGUGGUGAAGAUUGGACAAUGGGGGGAACCCUGAUCCAGCCAUGCCGCGUGUGUGAAGAAGGCCUUAUGGUUGUAAAGCACUUUAAGCGAGGAGGAGGCUCUUUUGGUUAAUACCCAAGAUGAGUGGACGUUACUCGCAGAAUAAGCACCGGCUAACUCUGUGCCAGCCGCCGCCGUAA
rnacentral:rRNA from 1 species